GGCGGCAUGCCUUACACAUGCAAGUCGAACGGCAGCACGGGAGCAAUCCUGGUGGCGAGUGGCGAACGGGUGAGUAAUAUAUCGGAACGUGCCCGGUCGUGGGGGAUAACGUAGCGAAAGCUACGCUAAUACCGCAUACGAUCUACGGAUGAAAGCGGGGGAUCGCAAGACCUCGCGCGAUUGGAGCGGCCGAUAUCAGAUUAGGUAGUUGGUGAGGUAAAGGCUCACCAAGCCGACGAUCUGUAGCUGGUCUGAGAGGACGACCAGCCACACUGGGACUGAGACACGGCCCAGACUCCUACGGGAGGCAGCAGUGGGGAAUUUUGGACAAUGGGCGCAAGCCUGAUCCAGCAAUGCCGCGUGCAGAAUGAAGGCCUUCGGGUUGUAAACUGCUUUGUACGGAACGAAACGGUGAGCUCUAAUACAGUUUGCUAAUGACGGUACCGUAAGAAUAAGCACCGGCUAACUACGUG
rnacentral:rRNA from 1 species